rnacentral:rRNA from 1 species
AGUGUCAUUGUAAUCUCACUUUCAAUACUUUUGUGUUGAAAUGUGGACUUGGAUGUUGCCGUGUCAUUACGGCUCGUCUCAAAUGCUUGAGUGUACCUUGCAUUGCAAUGUAUCCAGUGUAAUAAACAUUUCACGGGAGCCAGGUCGCAAGACCGCAUUGGUAUUGACAAGCUCUAUGCUUCAAACCGUCCUCGGACAAAYUUUAACUGACAAUUUGACCUCAAAUCGGGUGGGACUACCCGCUGAACUUAAGCAUAUCAAUAAGCGGAGGAAAAGAAACUAACAAGGAUUCCCCUAGUAACGGCGAGUGAAGAGGGAAAAGCUCAAAUUUUGAAUCUGGUGUCUUUGGCGCCCGAGUUGUAAUCUAGAGAAGUGUUUUCCGUGUCGGACCGUGUACAAGUCUCCUGGAACGGGGCGUCAUAGAGGGUGAGAAUCCCGUAUAUGCCACGGACUACCGAUGCUCUGUGAUACACUCUCAACGAGUCGAGUUGUUUGGGAAUGCAGCUCAAAAUGGGUGGUAAAUUCCAUCUAAAGCUAAAUAUUGGCGAGAGACCGAUAGCGAACAAGUACCGUGAGGGAAAGAUGAAAAGCACUUUGGAAAGAGAGUGAAACAGUACGUGAAAUUGUUGAAAGGGAAGCGUUUGAAGUCAGUCACGUUUGUUGGGAUUCAACCUUGCUUUUGCCUGGUGUAUUUCCUUUCCGACGGGUCAGCAUCAGUUUCGACCGAGGGAAAAAGACAUGGGGAAUGUGGCUGUCUUCGGGCAGUGUUAUA